rnacentral:rRNA from 1 species
GCGCGUAGGCGGGCCAUCAAGUCAAGGGUGAAAGCCCCCGGCUCAACCGGGGAAGUGCCUCUGAUACUGGUGGUCUCGAGGGAGAUAGGGGCGUGCGGAACUUCCGGUGGAGCGGUGAAAUGCGUAGAUAUCGGAAGGAACACCGGUGGCGAAAGCGGCGCGCUGGAUCUCUUCUGACGCUGAGGCGCGAAAGCCAGGGGAGCGAACGGGAUUAGAUACCCCGGUAGUCCUGGCCCUAAACGUUGGGCACUAGGUUGUGGGCUUACGUGGGUUCACAGCCGGAGCAAAAGUAUUAAGUGCCCCGCCUGGGGAGUAUGGUCGCAAGGCUGAAACUCAAAGAAAUUGACGGGGGCUCACACAAGCGGUGGAGCAUGUGGCUUAAUUCGAGUCUACGCGAAGAACCUUAUCCUGGGCUUGACAUGUGCGAAAGCGCUAGGCGUACCCGAGGGAAACCCCGGGGAACCCCGCAAGGGGGGACCUAGCACAGGUGCUGCAUGGCUGUCGUCAGCUCGUGUCGUGAGAUGUCGGGUUAAGUCCCAUAACGAGCGAAACCCCUGUCUCCAGUU